rnacentral:rRNA from 1 species
UACGUAGGGGGCUAGCGUUGUCCGGAAUCAUUGGGCGUAAAGCGCGUGUAGGCGGUUCGGUAAGUCCGCUGUGAAAGUCGGGGGCUCAACCCUCGGAUGCCGGUGGAUACUGUCGGACUAGAGUACGGAAGAGGCGAGUGGAAUUCCUGGUGUAGCGGUGAAAUGCGCAGAUAUCAGGAGGAACACCGAUUGCGAAGGCAGCUCGCUGGGACGUUACUGACGCUGAGACGCGAAAGCUAGGGGAGCAAACGGG